rnacentral:other from 1 species
CACAAAAGGAGGGAGGGAGAGAACGAGAAGCAGAACUUCCUCCACCUUCGGGAGCUCUGGGCGGAGAGGGGGGGCUGGCCAGGGAGGUUGGGUGACUGGGCUAGAGGGGGUGCCCACUCCUGUCCCCCAGUCUACUCUUGCCCAUUCUCUCCUGGUGUGUCGUUGGUCACAGCGUUGGAGAUUGGCGCGGGCCCCCGCCCUUCGCAUACCCCACGGGAAGGAAGCACCCCCGGUGUUAAAAAGAGCAGAGCGGAAAGAAGCGCUUAGUCGCCGGCGAGGAGGCGAGCCGAUGCCGAGCUGCACCGCGUCCACCAUG